rnacentral:miRNA from 1 species
CCAUACCGUUAAACAUAAUUU